rnacentral:rRNA from 1 species
AAAAUGGAACGUACGGAAAGCAUUGAGAAUAGAUUCUCAAUAUAUUUUCAAGCUUGGGAUUCCAUACUCAAAGCGCUAAAGCCGCAAAAGGAACCAAAAGGCGGCUAUGUACGCAGUUCAGAAUACGAUCAUUGGUAAAGUUUUUAUUGAAGAAUCCUCAGAGACUAUACGUUGAACACAAGUUAAAUAAAUGGGCGAACGAGUUAAAACUUUAGUAGCCCAAGUAUUUUUCUUAUGAUGAUAUAGUCCGAACUCGCCAGCGAUGGCGAGAGACCGGCAGAAAUGUCCGGUCCAACUCAAGAACCCGCCAAAAGCUAACGCAUUUAGGCGGGCAAGUCGGUGCUAAUUUUUGGAAAAAAAAGAGGUUAUUUGUUUGACCUCUGAUUGAGAUAUGUCUUUAGCCAGAAUUUCCAGUUGAUCAUGACAUAGAAAACCAAUACGACAAGGAUGGCCUUACCUACUAUAAUGGGAAAUUCAUACAUAUAUUGUCCUCCUUCUGAUUAAAGUCUAGCAUAGAGACAUAUUUUUAUCAAGCUCUAAUCUUGACCCCGCAAAAAAGAGCGGGGCAGGCUCCAAAAAUUAGCACCGAUUAUCAAAUCUUGAGCACUUGGGUGUCCGACACCCAAGUUAGUAACAAAAUGUAGAUACCUGGGAAGUACGAACGCAAGUUUAAAACUCAAAGGAAUAGACGGGGACUCGCACAAGCGGUGGAGCAUGUGGUUCAAUUCGAUGGUAAACGAAAAACCUCACCAGGGCUUGAAAUUCCGACGAUAAGUCCCGUGAAAGCGGGAUGUCUCACAAGGACGUCGGAACAGGUGCUGCAUGGCUGUCGUCAGUUCGUGGCUUGAGCUGUUCCCUUAAGUGGGGUAACGAACGCAACCCCUGCCCCGUGUUAUACGUGUCACGGGGGACUACUCUGAUUUUCGGAGGGGAAGGUGGGGAUGACGCCAAGUCAGCAUGGCCCUCUGAUGCCCUGGGCUACACACGUGCUACAAUGGGACGUACAAUGGGCCGCAAUACCGAGAGGUGGAGCUAAUCCCUUAAAACGUCCCCCAGUUCAGAUUGAGGUCUGCAACUCGACCUCAUGAAGACGGAAUCGCUAGUAAUCGCAGGUCAGCUAUACUGCGGUGAAUACGUUCUCGAGUCUUGUACUCACAAAUAAAUGCGCCCGGCAGCGCAUAGUUCUAAGUGGUUAAAAUCCACUCUUUAUCAUUCGUCGUGAUAAAUGUAGCAGAAAGAUAGGUC